rnacentral:rRNA from 1 species
GGACGGGUGAGUAACACGUAAGAAUCUACCUUUUGGCGAGGGACAACCACUGGAAACGGUGGCUAAUACCUCAUAUAACUGAGAAGUGAAAGAUGAAUAAUCACCAAAAGAUGAGCUUGCGUCUGAUUAGCUAGUUGGUAAGGUAAUGGCUUACCAAGGCGACGAUCAGUAGCUGGUCUGAGAGGAUGAUCAGCCACACUGGGACUGAGACACGGCCCAGACUCCUACGGGAGGCAGCAGUGAGGAAUUUUCCGCAAUGGGCGAAAGCCUGACGGAGCAAUACCGCGUGAAGGAUGACGGCCUAUGGGUUGUAAACUUCUUUUCUCAGAGAAGAAUUUUGACGGUAUCUGAGGAAUAAGCAUCGGCUAACUCUGUGC